AUGACUUUGAUCUCCGUCCUCAUCUGGACUCUCCUCUGCUGCUGCUUCACAGAGUCCAGAGGCCAGUAUACAGUGACUCAGCCCGCAGCAGUGAGAUCUGCUCUGGGAGGCUCCACAACCAUCAACUGUAGGACCAGUCAAGAUGUUUAUGUUCAUAGCUCAUCCCACUGUUUAGCCUGGUACCAACAGAGAGAUGGAGAAACUCCUAAACUUCUCAUUUACUUUGCUACCACUCGAGCAUCAGGGAUUCCAGAUCGUUUUACAGGCAGUGGAUCAAAGUCUGACUUCACUCUGACCAUCAGUGGCGUUCAGGCUGAAGAUGCAGCAGUUUACUACUGUCAGAGUUUCCACUAUCCCAACAGUCAGCAUGUGUUCACACAGUGAAAAAGCGUCGUACAAAAACCUCCCUCAGUCAGACUGAAC